UUAUAGUGCAAGGAGCGAGCAAAAGAAGCCCGACCUUUGGAUAUUUAGGGUACGCAAAGUGGCAUCCGUCUAUUUGGUUUUGAGUCUAGAGUAAUCAAUUAAUGCGAUCCACCCUAUUUAGUCAUACUUGCACACUUGGGCUUGCAGACCCUGCACCCUCAAAAGCCUCACUGACCUUCUGGAGGGCUCCGAGGAACUCAGCGGAGAGGACGCCCGAGCCGAUGACUUGGACAAGAGGAGCUUCGUGGAGCUGCUGGUGAAGAUGCUACAACUGGAUCCCACGGAAAGGAUCAAACCGCAGCAGAUCCUCCAGCAUCCCUUCAUCACGAUGAGCCACCUGGUCGGGGACUUUACCGACUGCCAAUAUGUCAAAUCCUCCAGAGACCUCCUCAACGAACAUUUGGCCCAGUCCGUUUUAAACCAAGGAGACGUCCAGCAGUCGGAAACCGCUUGACAAUGCGCAAGACGGUUGAGGAUUUAUAGAAAACCAGGAGGAACAAAGACUGUUUUGUUUUGUGGAAUGUAUUUUAUGGAAACAAAAAAACAUAUACAGAAACUACAGCGUCGUAAAUCUUUGUUGGGUGACUUUAUACCGGCACUCUUUGUCACGCACCACAGGACAGGAAGUCCCAUUCAAUUUAGAUAAGUGCUUUUUAAUCCCCCUGUAGAACAUUGAAUACAUCUCAGCUUCCAUGGCUAACACAGGUUCAAUGCUCUGCUAGUGGCUUCAGCCCAUCUCUUCAAACCAAUAACGAUGGCAUCCACACAUUUUUGAAUGUACCGGAAUUGUAAAACACAGGAAGCAUUUAAAAGCGUAAUGCUGUAGAAACAAGGACCAAUCCCAACAUGAAUGUCAGCCAUUUUAUAUGAUUUCCCUAAAUGUCACCGCCUGCAUCCCGCUCAUGCCGCCUCAGCAUGUGCUCUGCACAUUUCUUUGGCUUGAACCAGAUCACCUGACAGGAUUUCCCUCUUAAUUUAACUACGUGGCGCAUCACCACAGCAAAAUCAUAGCCGUCACACCCAAAAAUAAGUGUUUUUUUUUACGGGAAAACAAAUUCAAGUAACAAUGUAUUGAGCCUCCAGAAAAAGUCACACAAAGUCUGACGCUAUUUUUAACAUUUAUUGCCAAUUAUAUGAUAACGGCACAAUUCCUACAGGUUUUAGCUCCCGUGCACACAAUCUGGGGUCUGGCAUGCCUGGCAAACAUCAGGACAAGAGCACUGCUCUGCUGUUCAAUGUUCUUCAGGGUUUUACUGCCAGAAACUACUGCCGAAAAGUUAGGUGCACUCUGCUUUUUUUGCACGUUUAACAAU